rnacentral:tRNA from 1 species
GGAGUUGUGGCUCAGCGGUAGAGUGCUCGCCUAGCACGUGUGAGGCCCUGGGUUUGAUCCUCAGCACCA